rnacentral:rRNA from 1 species
AACACAUGCAAGUCGAGGGGCAGCGGGGGUGUAGCAAUACACCCGCCGGCGACCGGCGCACGGGUGAGUAACACGUAUGCAACCUGCCCUUUACAGGGGGAUAAGCGGAAGAAAUUCCGUCUAAUACCGCAUAAUAUUCCCGGAGGACAUCCUUCGGGGAUCAAAGGGUUUACCGGUAAAGGAUGGGCAUGCGUCGCAUUAGUUAGUUGGCGGUGUAACGGACCACCAAGACGACGAUGCGUAGGGGUUCUGAGAGGAAGGUCCCCCACACUGGUACUGAGACACGGACCAGACUCCUACGGGAGGCAGCAGUGAGGAAUAUUGGUCAAUGGGCGAGAGCCUGAACCAGCCAAGUCGCGUGAGGGAAGACGGUCCUAUGGAUUGUAAACCUCUUUUGUCGGGGAGCAAGGGCUGCCACGUGUGGCAGGGCGAGAGUACCCGAAGAAAAAGCAUCGGCUAACUCCGUGCCAGCAGCCGCGGUAAUACGGAGGAUGCGAGCGUUAUCCGGAUUUAUUGGGUUUAAAGGGUGCGUAGGCGGACUGUUAAGUCGGUGGUAAAAUUGAGAGGCUCAACCUCUUCGAGCCAUUGAAACUGGCGGUCUUGAGUGGGCGAGAAGUAUGCGGAAUGCGUGGUGUAGCGGUGAAAUGCAUAGAU